UGCAGUGUUGCAUAGUGCUUAUUGUGUUUGACUAGGACUCUGGAGACCAGAGUUCAAAUCCCCACUUGGCCA